AAAAAGAAAUUGAUGAGAGUGGGAUUCGAACCCACGCCCCCGGAGGGACUGGUGCCUAAAACCAGCGCCUUAGACCACUCGGCCAUCUCACCGACGGAGGACACACUCUUGUGUGCCUAGACGACAGAUGGAGAAUAAGGGCAGUAGUGAGACGAAUGUAGUGUGCCGGCCGACUAGUUGUGUUUGCUACCGAGUAAUUUCAAAAAAAAUGUGAC
ensembl:ncRNA C04A2.11 ncRNA